rnacentral:rRNA from 1 species
UACGUAGGGGGCAAGCGUUGUCCGGAUUUAUUGGGCGUAAAGAGCGUGUAGGCGGUUUGGUAGGUCCGCUGUGAAAACUCGAGGCUCAACCUCGAGACGCCGGUGGAAACCAUCAGACUAGAGUCCGGAAGAGGAGAGUGGAAUUCCUGGUGUAGCGGUGAAAUGCGCAGAUAUCAGGAGGAACACCGGUGGCGAAGGCGGGUCUCUGGGCCAUAACUGACGCUGAGGAGCGAAAGCGUGGGGAGCGAACAGG